UACGUAGGGUGCGAGCGUUAAUCGGAAUUGCUGGGCGGAAAGUGUGCGCAGGUGGCCGCGCAAGUCGAGUGGGAAAUCCCCGGGCUUAACUUGGGAAUUGCGCUCGAAACUACGUGGCUCGAGUAUGGCAGAGGAAGGUGGAAUUCCACGUGUAGCGGUGAAAUGCGUAGAGAUGUGGAGGAACACCGAUGGCGAAGGCAGCCUUCUGGGCCAAUACUGACGCUCAUGCACGAAAGCGUGGGGAGCAAACAGG
rnacentral:rRNA from 1 species